rnacentral:rRNA from 1 species
GACGAACGCUGGCGGCGUGCUUAACACAUGCAAGUCGAACGCUGAAGCUCAGCUUUUGUUGGGUGGAUGAGUGGCGAACGGGUGAGUAACACGUGAGUAACCUGCCCCCUUCUUUGGGAUAACGCCCGGAAACGGGUGCUAAUACUGGAUAUUCACUGGUCUUCGCAUGGGGGUUGGUGGAAAGGGUUUUUCUGGUGGGGGAUGGGCUCGCGGCCUAUCAGCUUGUUGGUGGGGUGAUGGCCUACCAAGGCUUUGACGGGUAGCCGGCCUGAGAGGGUGACCGGUCACAUUGGGACUGAGAUACGACCCAGACUCCUACGGGAGGCAGCAGUGGGGAAUAUUGCACAAUGGGCGCAAGCCUGAUGCAGCGACGCCGCGUGAGGGAUGGAGGCCUUCGGGUUGUGAACCUCUUUCGCUCAUGGUCAAGCCGCAACAAUGGUUGUGGUGAGGGUAGUGGGUAAAGAAGCGCCGGCUAACUACGUG